CUUUCUCCUAGAGGUAUUGCAGGAAUAGCAUUUGGGUCACCUUUGUGACUGUAGGUGGCAGAGAAGAGAAAGGCUAUGUCUGUGUUAAGUGUCUGACCUGUGAUCAUCUGAUUAGUAGCCUAACAUU